AUACGUAGGUGGCAAGCGUUGUCCGGAAUUAUUGGGCGUAAAGCGCAUGUAGGCGGUUUGGUAAGUCGGUCGUGAAAAUGCGGUGCUUAACGCCGUAUGGCGAUUGAAACUGCUGAACUUGAGUGCAGGAGAGGAAAGGGGAACUCCCAGUGUAGCGGUGAAAUGCGUAGAUAUUGGGAAGAACACCGGUGGCGAAGGCGCCUUUCUGGACUGUGUCUGACGCUCAGAUGCGAAAGCCAGGGUAGCGAACGGGAUUAGAUACCCCGGUAGUCCUGGCCGUAAACGAUGGGUACUAGGUGUGGGAGGUAUCGACUCCUUCCGUGCCGGAGUUAACGCAAUAAGUACCCCGCCUGGGGAGUACGGCCGCAAGGCUUAAACUUAAAGGAAUCGACGGGG
rnacentral:rRNA from 1 species